CACGUAUAACAUUUAUCAGGAGGGAAAAGAUGGGAUUGUCCUGUGCUUACCUCAAGCCUAGUGAGAAUGGUUUCAUGGAGGCCUCUCAGUGUGCUUGAUAUAUAUCCCCUGCAGAUACAUAGAGAACAAUGGACUAGUGUCUGACACGGAUCCUGAAAUCUAAAAGUGUGAAUGUAUGGCAAUGAACCUGAGCUGGCAGAGAAGAGAUUCUGUUGCACUGGGAAAUAGCUACUCUUCGGAUGGAAGGGGAUUAGUGGCAUGGGGUAUGUGUGUGUUUCAUAGAACAGAAGUGGCAUAUGCAGAAGAGAAAGGCUACAAAACAUCAUUUAGUAUUCUGCCCCAAAGGACCAACUAUAAAGAUACCUGUGACCCAUCAGAAACAGUCUGGAAAAGAGGAAAAUGGAAGUAAUAUUUUUUUUAAAAACUGAGUAACAGAGAAAGAGGUGUAAAUGCACUACUCAUUAUCACCAAGAACGCAGCUGGUUGCUGCAGAGCAAGUCCUCUGAAGCACCCAUGGAGACUCUUCUCAAGAGAAAGACUCAACUUUAAAGACUUACCUUGCACAAAAAAGCACAAAUCCACCCCUAGAGUUUUCUCAGACUGGUGUGAACCUCACAUUCCCCUUACCUCUUCUCUCUACCCCAACUUAGACACUGAUAGAAUGAAAAAUUGUGGUUAUUAGUGUGAAGGAAGAGAAGAAAUAAUAGGAACAAGAAAAGAGAAACAGCCAACUAUAUCCCCAUCCCUGAGGGGAUUACAGUGGUACCUACAUACAUGUAACCAGCCCUAGCUGGUCUGUGUUACCUGUGAAUAAAAAUUUAAAUUGAUCAAUACUUUGGGCAAUUACAUUACUUGUAAUUACUGACUUGAUUUAGAAGGACGCUAGCAUUUCUUUAAAGUGAUGGGAAAUUCCUGAGUUCCCGUGAGUCUUUAUCCAGUGGCAAAAUGAGAACUAAUGCAGUAAAACAUUUGCAAGACAGAAGGGGGCAAAAAAUGAAAAUAUAUUUUGCAUAUAUCCCAUAAGUCCUGCUCCUUUACAAUAACAAGUUUAAAUUAGGGUUUCAAAUAUAUUUAAUUUCACUUUCUGAUUACCCAAAUCUUAGCUCAUUAUGAUCUUUUCAAAGAUAUUAUUUUCUGAUCAUUAAAGCUACAUAGCUACCCUUCUUAGCUCUCUAUCACAUUGCUUGUUUGAUAACAGUUGUUGAGCUCCAAAAUAAUCUUUCUCAGGUAGCUUUUCAUUGUCCUUCUCACGUUUCCCAGUAGAAUGUAAGUUCCUAUGAAGAAGGAACCACCUGGGUGACAGAAUAAUUCAUACCCCUAACUUCAGUGUCAUACAUAUUUACACAUACAUAUUUGUGUGACAAACCUGCACAUGAACCCCUUGAACCUAAAAUAAAAGUUUAAAUAAAAAUAUUUAAAAAC
rnacentral:lncRNA from 10 species